UAACUUAAAGACCAAUACAUUAUAAGGAUGAGCGUUCACAUCUUAUGACGAGAUCCAACACGGGCCACUAUAUUCAUACUCUUAUCUUCAAUAGACACACACUGCGAGGGAGAGAGUGAUAAUGGAUCCCCCUGCUGUACAAUCCAUUGAUGUUUCCAGCACCAAGAAGAGCGUGGAUGAGAAGUGCUUCGAUAACAGGUGCCUCAAUGACUGUUGCACUGUCUGCUUAGACGCUACUGUGGGUUGCUUUGUUGGCCUCUGCGGUGCGUUAUGUUGUAGUGACAACUGUUGUUAAUUAGUAUAGUUCUUGAUUAAGGUAUCAAGUUUCAGUUAUUGCCACUAUUAUCUGUUGUUAGCAGAGUAAGAGACAGUAUGUUAAUGUGAAAAUGGGUAUAGAUUGUAUAGAUGAACCCUUCCCCCAACCGCACACCAUUGUAUAUUGGGGUACCGGUGGAACUUUUGUAUGAUGAGAAUUUUGGAUCAAUGAAGAAAAAGUUGGGUUAUCCAGCGGUUGAUUUGGAA